ensembl:lncRNA novel transcript, antisense to KCNH8
GGCGGGCUGCAGGACCCGAGCCCUGCCCCGCGGGGAGGCAGCUAAGUCCCGGCGAGAAUUUGAGCGCAGCGCCGGCGCUCCGGCACUGCUGGGGAAGCCGGCGCACCCUCCACAGGGCCGGCCAGCCGGCCGCUCCGAGUGCGGGCCGCCAAGCCCACGCCCACCCGGAACUCGCGCUGGCCCGCGAGCACCCGCGCGCAGCCCGGGUUCCCUCCCGCGCCUCUCCGUCUACACCUCCCCGCAAGUAGAGGGAGCCGGCUCUGGCUUCCGCCAGCCCAGUGAGGGGCUCCCACAGUGCAGCGGCGGGCUGAAGGCCUCCUCAAGCGUGGGCGGAGUGGGCACCGAGGCCGAGGAGGCACUGAGAGCAAGGGCUGCCAGCACGCUGUCAUCUCUCACUUUCAUGGGUCUCCAUAUUUUAAAAAGCUAAAGAAAGGACUUCAAUUAUGUCUCCAGGAGAAAUCAAGAGAAGAGUCCAAGUUUUAAGUCUGGAUCAAUACAAUAUUGGAAAAAGCCAUGUGAAGAAGGAUGUGUUUGCUUCCCCUUUCGCCAUGAUUUUAAGUUUCCUGAGGCCUCCCCAGCCAUGCAGAACUGAAAUAAGAUGGCAAGUCUACUGAAGGAGAGAAGAAUGAAGAGGAAAUGCAGAGAAAAGGAAAAAUUCUUGGCCUUCCCACCCUACCCCGCAUGAUACAGAUACACUUUUAGGCAUCUGCAAUGGAUACGCUUGCUCCAGCCAAAGGGUAUUGAAAAAAGCAUGAACAGCUAAUAUGAAUGUCAAAAGGAAGUAACUUCAUCAACUGAAGAAUCUGGCCUGCAUAUCACUGGGCAUCAGGGCAUCUUUAUUGAAGAAGGCACAAAACCCUGGAAGCAUAAAUCGCCACAAGCAUUUAAAACCUGAACAUGCGAUAAAUAAAUCAACCUUAAAGGCCAUGUGGCGGGGAGCUCUUUACUCACCACUGUGACGUUGAAAGCAUACAGAAGAUCAAAAGGCAGGGCAGCGAUUAAAUCAAUGAUGAACCAGGUUGUGACAUAGUGGAUGCAAAUUGAUCUUGCUUCAAAGAUAACUUGGCCAGACUUGCUGACAUAAGUUGUUCGGAAAUUUAAAAUAAUAUCUGCUUGGGAAAAAAAAGGUUGAGAAAUAAAAGGAAGAGACAGAGAAGAAUAAAGAAGGUAGGAAGGACAAUGAAAGAAAGAAGAAAGGAAGGGAGACAGGCAGGCAAACAAGCAGGAAGGAAGGGAGGAAGAAAAUCGUAGAAAAUUAAAUAAAAUUAGGCAAAUGGCAACCACUUAGCCUAGUUCAGAUUGAUAAUAUCCAAAAUAUUCUCCUCUACAGAUCCAGUUCAACUAAACAGAUACUGAAGAAGGGUGAAAGUAAUAUUUUCUGAGCACAUAAUGUUCCAGACAUGAAGCUACAUGUUAAGAUUAUUAAAAUAAAUAAUCGUAGCAAUAGCAACAAUAGUCAUCACUUACUAAGUGUUCACUAUGUACCCAAUAUUGUUCUAAGAGCUUGGCAUAGGAUAUUUCACUUAAUCCUCAGUACAUCUCCUGAAGUAGACAGUGUUACUCUGAUUAAAGAGUCAGAAAUCAAGUCCCAGGAAGAAAAAGUAAUUCAUCCAAGAUCAUAUUGCCAAGAGUGGCAGAGUCAAGUUUUAAUACAGAUACAAGCCGGGCAUGGUGGCUCAUGCCUGUAAUCCCAGCACUUUGGAAGGACGAAGCAAAAGAAUUGCCCGAGCUCAGAAGUUCAGGAUGAGUCUGGGCAACAAAACGAGAACUCAUCUCUAUUAAAAUUCAAAAAAAAUUAGCUGGGCAUACUGGCACAUGUCUGUAGUCCCAGUUACUCCAGAGACUGAGGUGGAAGAAUCACUUGAGCCCAGGAAGUUGAGGCUUCAGUGAGCCAUGAUUGCACCAUGCACUCCAGCCUGGGCAACAGAGUGAGACCCUGUUUCAAAAACAAAAACAAAAAACCCACUAAAUAUAAUCUGAAAUCUAUAUUCCUUAUUUUAUAUAAUAUUACUUAUUUCCAUGUAUAAAAGUUUUACUAAUCUCUGUGUCGAUAUGGAAUUCAGCCCUGCCCUGAAGGCACUCCUAUUAACAAAGUACUGGUAGUUUCUUGUGUGAAUUUCUGGGUUAAAUUCUAUUUUAAUGAAAGAUGUAAUUGUUUUCAAUCUUUCCCUGCAUCAUUAUUUAGUUAUAUAUUAUCGAGCGUUUUACAAUAUAUGAGGUCCUCCUGAGUGCUGAUCAAAUGACAUCCGUGUGAGUUUCCAACAGCCCUAUGAGCUUGAAAGAAGACCCUGAGCAGGAGAAAGGAACACAACUCAGCUGAUAUUUUGAUGUCAGCCUUUUGAAUUCCUGAUCGGAGGAUCCAACUAAGCCAUCCCUGGACUUUUGACAUAUAGCAACUGUAAGAC